rnacentral:rRNA from 1 species
UGGGGAAUAUUGCACAAUGGGCGCAAGCCUGAUGCAGCCAUGCCGCGUGUGUGAAGAAGGCCUUCGGGUUGUAAAGCACUUUCAGCGGGGAGGAAGGCGAUAAGGUUAAUAACCUUGUCGAUGGACGUUACCCGCAGAAGAAGCACCGGCUAACUCCGUGCCAGCAGCCGCGGUAAUACGGAGGGUGCAAGCGUUAAUCGGAAUUACUGGGCGUAAAGCGCACGCAGGCGGUCUGUCAAGUCGGAUGUGGAAUCCCCGGGCUCAACCUGGGAACUGCAUUCGAAAAUGGCAGGCUAGAGUCUUGUAGAGGGGGGUGGAAUUCCAGGUGUAGCGGUGAAAUGCGUAGAGAUCUGGAGGAAUACCGGUGGCGAAGGCGGCCCCCUGGACAACGACUGACGCUCCGGUGCGAAAGCGGGGGGAGCAAACAGG